CAAUAGCGUAUAUUAAAGUUGUUGCGGUUAAAAAGCUCGUAGUUGGAGUUCUGCCAGGUGCCGCCUGUCCGCCCCAGUGGUGAGUACGUGGCGCGCAUUUGGCCCUUUCAAGGGGAGCGUAUCUGCACUUUAUUGUGUGGUGCGGGAUCCUUGACUUUUACUUUGAGGAAAUAGGAGUGUUCCAAGCAGGCUCUCGUCGUGCACAGCUCAGCAUGGAAUAAUAGCAUUGGACCUCGAUUCUAAGCUGUUGGUUGCCAGAAGCGAGGUAAUGAUGAAGAGGGAUAGUUGGGGGCAUUCGUAUUUAACUGUCAGAGGUGAAAUUCUUGGAUUUGUUAAAGACGGACUACUGCUAAAGCAUCUGCCAUGGAUGUUUUCAUUGA
rnacentral:rRNA from 1 species